GUGGGUGUAGCUCAACCGGUCCAGAGCAGCCGCCUCUCGAAGGCGACAGGCUGGGGGUUCAAAUCCCCCCACCCACA
rnacentral:tRNA from 1 species